rnacentral:rRNA from 1 species
UACGGGGGGGGCAAGCGUUGUUCGGAAUUACUGGGCGUAAAGGGCGCGUAGGCGGCCCGCUAAGUCGAACGUGAAAUCCCCAGGCUUAACCUGGGAACUGCGUCCGAUACUGGUGGGCUUGAAUCCGGGAGAGGGAUGUGGAAUUCCAGGUGUAGCGGUGAAAUGCGUAGAUAUCGGAAGGAACACCAGUGGCGAAAGCGGCUUCCUGGUCCAGCACCGACGUUCAGGCACGAAAGCGUGGGGAGCAAACAGG